rnacentral:rRNA from 1 species
AACGAACGCUGGCGGCAUGCCUAACACAUGCAAGUCGAACGAGACCUUCGGGUCUAGUGGCGCACGGGUGCGUAACGCGUGGGAACCUGCCCUUAGGUUCGGAAUAACUCCCCGAAAGGGGUGCUAAUACCGGAUAAUGUCUUCGGACCAAAGAUUUAUCGCCUUUGGAUGGGCCCGCGUUGGAUUAGCUAGUUGGUAGGGUAAAAGCCUACCCAGGCGACGAUCCAUAGCUGGUCUGAGAGGAUGAUCAGCCACACUGGGACUGAGACACGGCCCAGACUCCUACGGGAGGCAGCAGUGGGGAAUAUUGGACAAUGGGCGAAAGCCUGAUCCAGCAAUGCCGCGUGAGUGAUGAAGGUCUUAGGGUUGUAAAGCUCUUUUAACCGGGAUGAUAAUGACAGUACCGGGAGAAUAAGCGCCGGCUAACUCCGUG